GUCUUCGAGUCGUUGAUUUCACACUGCCGAGAAAAGCCUCUAGAUAGAAAAUAGGUGCCCGUACCGCAAACCGACACAGGUAGUCAAGAUGAGAAUUCUAAGGUGAGCGAGCGAACUCUCGUUAAGGAACUCGGCAAAAUGACCCCGUAACUUCGGGAGAAGGGGUGCUCUUUAGGGUUAACGCCCAGAAGAGCCGCAGUGAAUAGGCCCAAGCGACUGUUUAUCAAAAACACAGGUCUCUGCUAAACCGUAAGGUGAUGUAUAGGGGCUGACGCCUGCCCGGUGCUGGAAGGUUAAGAGGAGUGGUUAGCUUCUGCGAAGCUACGAAUCGAAGCCCCAGUAAACGGCGGCCGUAACUAUAACGGUCCUAAGGUAGCGAAAUUCCUUGUCGGGUAAGUUCCGACCCGCACGAAAGGCGUAACGAUUUGGGCACUGUCUCAACGAGAGACUCGGUGAAAUCAUAGUACCUGUGAAGAUGCAGGUUACCCGCGACAGGACGGAAAGACCCCGUGGAGCUUUACUGUAGCCUGAUAUUGAAAUUCGGCACAGCUUGUACAGGAUAGGUAGGAGCCUUUGAAACGUGAGCGCUAGCUUACGUGGAGGCGCUGGUGGGAUACUACCCUAGCUGUGUUGGCUUUCUAACCCGCACCACUUAUCGUGGUGGGAGACAGUGUCAGGCGGGCAGUUUGACUGGGGCGGUCGCCUCCUAAAAGGUAACGGAGGCGCUCAAAGGUUCCCUCAGAAUGGUUGGAAAUCAUUCAUAGAGUGUAAAGGCAUAAGGGAGCUUGACUGCGAGACCUACAAGUCGAGCAGGGUCGAAAGACGGACUUAGUGAUCCGGUGGUUCCGCAUGGAAGGGCCAUCGCUCAACGGAUAAAAGCUACCCCGGGGAUAACAGGCUUAUCUCCCCCAAGAGUUCACAUCGACGGGGAGGUUUGGCACCUCGAUGUCGGCUCAUCGCAUCCUGGGGCUGUAGUCGGUCCCAAGGGUUGGGCUGUUCGCCCAUUAAAGCGGUACGCGAGCUGGGUUCAGAACGUCGUGAGACAGUUCGGUCCCUAUCCGUCGUGGGCGCAGGAAAUUUGAGAGGAGCUGUCCUUAGUACGAGAGGACCGGGAUGGACAUACCUCUGGUGUACCAGUUGUCGUGCCAACGGCAUAGCUGGGUAGCUAUGUGUGGACGGGAUAAGUGCUGAAAGCAUCUAAGCAUGAAGCCCCCCUCAAGAUGAGAUUUCCCAACUUCGGUUAUAAGAUCCCUCAAAGAUGAUGAGGUUAAUAGGUUCGAGGUGGAAGCAUGGUGACAUGUGGAGCUGACGAAUACUAAUCGAUCGAAGACUUAAUCAAAA
rnacentral:rRNA from 1 species